rnacentral:rRNA from 1 species
AGACCCGAAACCCGGUGAUCUAGCCAUGGGCAGGUUGAAGGUUGGGUAACACUAACUGGAGGACCGAACCGACUAAUGUUGAAAAAUUAGCGGAUGACCUGUGGCUGGGGGUGAAAGGCCAAUCAAACCGGGAGAUAGCUGGUUCUCCCCGAAAGCUAUUUAGGUAGCGCCUCGUGAAUUCAUCUCCGGGGGUAGAGCACUGUUUCGGCUAGGGGGCCAUCCCGGCUUACCAACCCGAUGCAAACUGCGAAUACCGGAGAAUGUUAUCACGGGAGACACACGGCGGGUGCUAACGUCCGUCGUGAAGAGGGAAACAACCCAGACCGCCAGCUAAGGUCCCAAAGUCAUGGUUAAGUGGGAAACGAUGUGGGAAGGCCCAGACAGCCAGGAUGUUGGCUUAGAAGCAGCCAUCAUUUAAAGAAAGCGUAAUAGCUCACUGGUCGAGUCGGCCUGCGCGGAAGAUGUAACGGGGCUAAACCAUGCACCGAAGCUGCGGCAGCGAACGUAUCACUUAAAGCGAUUCAGCGGGUUACGAUUGACGGAGCGAAGCGACGUCAAAGCGUAUACA